rnacentral:rRNA from 1 species
AGAGUUUGAUCCUGGCUCAGGACGAACGCUGGCGGCGUGCCUAACACAUGCAAGUCGAGCGGUAGAUAAAAGCUUGCUUUUAUCUUCUAUAGCGGCGGACGGGUGAGUAACACGUGGGCAACCUGCCUCAAAGUGGGGGAUAGCCUUCCGAAAGGGAGAUUAAUACCGCAUAACAUCAUGAUGUCACAUGACAUUAUGAUCAAAGGAGUAAUCCGCUUUGAGAUGGGCCCGCGGCGCAUUAGCUAGUUGGUGAGGUAACGGCUCACCAAGGCGACGAUGCGUAGCCGACCUGAGAGGGUGAUCGGCCACAUUGGAACUGAGAUACGGUCCAGACUCCUACGGGAGGCAGCAGUGGGGAAUAUUGCGCAAUGGGGGAAACCCUGACGCAGCAACGCCGCGUGGGUGAUGAAGGUCUUCGGAUUGUAAAGCCCUGUCUUUUGGGACGAUAAUGACGGUACCAAAGGAGGAAGCCACGGCUAACUACGUGCCAGCAGCCGCGGUAAUACGUAGGUGGCAAGCGUUGUCCGGAUUUACUGGGCGUAAAGGGUGCGUAGGUGGAUAUUUAAGUCAGAUGUGAAAUCCCCGGGCUUAACCUGGGAAGUGCAUUUGAAACUGGGUAUCUUGAGUGCAGGAGAGGUAAGUGGAAUUCCUAGUGUAGCGGUGAAAUGCGUAGAGAUUAGGAAGAACACCAGUGGCGAAGGCGACUUACUGGACUGUAACUGACACUGAGGCACGAAAGCGUGGGUAGCAAACAGGAUUAGAUACCCUGGUAGUCCACGCUGUAAACGAUGAGUACUAGGUGUAGGGGGUAUCGAUCCCUUCUGUGCCGCAGUUAACACAAUAAGUACUCCGCCUGGGAAGUACGAUCGCAAGAUUAAAACUCAAAGGAAUUGACGG